rnacentral:lncRNA from 1 species
UUGAAUAUUUGUUUAUAAUAUAGUUAUGUUGUAGAUCUGAAAUGCUAUUAACAUAUAUUAUGAAUACCUGUUAUAUUGAAGUUAUACUGCAUAAUAUUUUGUUAUGAAUUUUAUAAAUUUUUUAGGGUUUGUUUAGGAUUUUUAGGGUUUAUGUCAAAUUUUCACUACAAGUGUUUGAAUUCAACCAAAGAGUCAACCCUGGAGACACAAGGAGGGUGGAACACGUUCGGUAUAAACGUCCAACGCUCGAUGAGGGGAGAAUAUCA